rnacentral:rRNA from 1 species
CCGGCAUACGCUGGCGGCGUGCCUAGUACAUGCUAGUCGGGCGGAUCGAAUGGGAGCUUGCUCCCUGAGAUCAGCGGCGGACGGGUGAGUAACACGUGGGUAACCUGCCUGUAAGACUGGGAUAACUCCGGGAAACCGGGGCUAAUACCGGAUAACACCUACCCCCGCAUGGGGGAAGGUUGAAAGGUGGCUUCGGCUAUCACUUACAGAUGGACCCGCGGCGCAUUAGCUAGUUGGUGAGGUAAUGGCUCACCAAGGCGACGAUGCGUAGCCGACCUGAGAGGGUGAUCGGCCACACUGGGACUGAGACACGGCCCAGACUCCUACGGGAGGCAGCAGUAGGGAAUCUUCCGCAAUGGACGAAAGUCUGACGGAGCAACGCCGCGUGAGUGAAGAAGGUUUUCGGAUCGUAAAACUCUGUUGUUAGGGAAGAACAAGUGCCGUUCGAAUAGGGCGGCGCCUUGACGGUACCUAACCAAAAGCCACGGCUAACUACGUGCCAGCAGCCGCGGUAAUACGUAGGUGGCAAGCGUUGUCCGGAAUUAUUGGGCGUAAAGCGCGCGCAGGUGGUUUCUUAAGUCUGAUGUGAAAGCCCACGGCUCAACCGUGGAGGGUCAUUGGAAACUGAGGAACUUGAGUGCAAAA